UUAAUUUCUGUAGAAAUGGUCUACCUGGUACAUCUGAAUUUCUCUGUAUUCUAUUGUUUUCCACAUUGAUUCUAAUUCCGGUCCGUUAUAUCUUAAUCUUACCAUUUGCAGGUUAAAUAAUUCUUGGGAUCUCUCGAAUAUAUUUUGCCCUUGUACUGGUAUCGUCCUGUUCAUCUUAUAAGAUAAUUUAAGAGAAGUUGAUGUUUAUCGGUUUAUGACUUACACUUGCAGAUCCUUUAUUUAUAAUAUCAACAUGCAGAGCCUUCAGUUACGAUAUCCGAGUGUUUAACCGGUUGGAAGGAGUACUGUGAGCGGAGGUCCAUCCCGCUGCAUUCACCUGUUGCAUUGCUUCUCCAUUGGGUAUGAUAGGUGUUUUAGUUGAGUGUUAGAAUUUGUGUAUAAAAUCAAACCCGAACAAUUUGUAACCAGUUGUGUAUAAAAUCAGCUUCUCCGUUGGGUAUGAUUUACUACCAUUAGAAAGAGCUUCUUCAGCUUUCUGUCUUCUCAGAGUUGCGUGUGCUUUUCCCUAACAUGAACAUGCAUAUAGAGCUUGUUGGGCCUUCGAUUCCACAGCAUAGGUUGGUUCUAUAGUUUGAUAUGAUCUUUUGCUUGGUAUUCAUAUACAUUCCUUUUUUAUUGAACUUCACUCAUGAAGAUAAAACAAGGAUUGCUUAAUUGUGUUUGCACUCUUGUGGAGAAAUGAUCUCUCAUUCAUAUUUGAUUCUGCCUCUACUUUUUGAGAUGGCUAGGAUGGCGAGAUGGUCGCGUUAAUCGAUUAUGCUCAUUGCCUUGAUUGAGAUUGCAUUUGUAAAUCCUCAAGUGAGACUGUCAGUGGGGAUGUACAUACUAGUGAACCUUCAGCAGUUACAUUGCACCUUAGAAGCGGCUUUUAUCAUGACCGUUACAUGGAUAUAACUAAGGAUUCAUCCCCUCAGUCAUUGCUCCAAAUGCAGGAAUUGCUGCGUAUUCAAGCUGGUCACCGACUAUUGGGUUAAUAAAGGAUAUGAACAUCCCAGCGGUAUUUUCCGAUUACUGCAAAGAAGCUUGUCAUCUUGGAGCUCGUUGCAUAAGCAGCGUAACUUGGCCAUCCUCUCAAUAUCCCUAUUCAGUUAAAUCCAUUCAGGCAACCGAUGGCGGUGGAAGACAGUGUUCUUGUUCUUCCUUUCCACUCAAAUUGCUUCCUCUAUGGGAUGUCAAAUUGGUCGGCCUAAAAUCAUAUGCAUUGUUUUAAAGAUCGCCGGCGCGUCUCUUGACGAAAAGGAGGGCAAGUUAUCAAGGUAGAUGAGACCCGUUUCGUAACGACGUUCUCUUCAAAUGGUGGUCAGUUUGUAUGACAUCAAUUAUAUACGUUCAGUUCAUGAUGUAUACAUCUGUUGUAUGCAGUUAGAACUUUGCUGAUUAAAAAUGUGUUUCUCUUUAGCUUUUUCGAUUAAAAAUGUGUGCGUGCUUUUUUUUAUAAAUAAUUUUACGAAAAAGUUUUCAAACAUAACGUGUUUUUUUAUAUUUUAGUACAUCAAUAUUUUUUCAUUGAGGAGAGGGAAAGUUCAGUAAAACCACAAAAUGAGCAGCCUUAUUUGGUAUCGAAUUCGUUAUUCACGAUAUUCGAAUUUUAAAGAUUGAAGUUAUUCUUGAUUUUCACGAUUAAGGAUUUCAGUAAACUUAUGGACCAAACGAUGUCGUUUCAUACUAAUCAUCCAACGGACGUAACAGAACGUAGCCAGCAUUCCCGCGGCUCCCGCCUACGUGGAACGUUGAAACGUCCGAACUAGCCAAAACAAAAUCAAGGUCGGUCAAUGAAAAUCCAAAAACAAACCCAAAAUUCCAAAAAUAAUUUC